GUGCCAGCCGCCGCGGUAAUACAGAGGGUGCGAGCGUUAAUCGGAAUUACUGGGCGUAAAGGGUGCGUAGGUGGUUUAGUAAGUAACAUGUGAAAGUCCUGAGCUUAACUUGGGGAUUGCAUGUUAGACUGCGAAGCUAGAGUGUUGUAGAGGAUAGCGGAAUUUCCGGUGUAGCGGUGAAAUGCGUAGAUAUCGGAAGGAACAUCAGUGGCGAAGGCGGCUAUCUGGACAACAACUGACACUGAGGCACGAAAGCGUGGGGAGCAAACAGGAUUAGAAACCCUCGUAGUCC
rnacentral:rRNA from 1 species